rnacentral:rRNA from 1 species
UACGGAGGGUGCUAGCGUUGUUCGGAAUCACUGGGCGUAAAGCGCGUGUAGGCGGCCUCCCAAGUCUGAUGUGAAAGCCCGGGGCUCACCCCCGGAAGUGCAUUGGAAACUGUGAGGCUCGAGUCCCGGAGAGGAGAGUGGAAUUCCUGGUGUAGCGGUGAAAUGCGUAGAUAUCAGGAGGAACACCGGUGGCGAAGGCGGCUCGUCUGGGACGGGUGACUGACGCUGAGACGCGAAAGCGUGGGGAGCAAACAGG